rnacentral:rRNA from 1 species
AUGCAGGUGGUUUGUUAAGUCAGAUGUGAAAGCCCGGGGCUCAACCUCGGAAUUGCAUUUGAAACUGGCAGACUAGAGUACUGUAGAGGGGGUAGAAUUUCAGGUGUAGCGGUGAAAAUGCGUAGAGAUCUGAAGGAAUACCGGUGGCGAAGGCGGCCCCCCUGGACAGAUACUGACACUCAGAUGCGAAAAGCGUGGGGAGCAAACAGGAUUAGAUACCCCUGGUAG